rnacentral:lncRNA from 1 species
GCAACGAGCUGAGACCACGCCACUGCACUCCAGCCUGGGCGAUAGAGCGAGACUCCGUUUCAAAAUAAAUAAAUAAAUAAAAAUAAAAUAAAAUAUUUGGAUUAAUUAGCAAUACUGUAGAAGAAUCUGUGUCCUUAUAUGUAUAGAAGUGCAUAAAAUUUAUGAGCCCAGCAGCCUAUCUAUAUCUUUCAGAGUGGUCUUUGUGGCUCAGGCUCUGAUUUGGACCUGAAGAUUCUGCUACCUAUUCUGAAUAGUAAGUGAGCUUAACUUGGCUCUAGAAUAUUAUUGCAUCUGCCUUGAUUAAUUCUUUCCUGCAAGAUACUUGGCAGUGUGCCAAUGGUGGAGACAACCAGUUUUCUACCAAAUAGUCCAUUCUCCUCUUCUUCUUAGGUGCUUGGCUACACCACCCAAUCCAGCUCACCUAACAGAUAGCUGUAUUCAUGUGGCUAAGUUUCACCUGAUGGCAUUGCCUAAGGGACUGAGCUGAGCUUGUAAGAAGAGCACGCCUGCUUGCUAAUGAUUACAGCGGUAGCAGAAUUCCAUCUAGGGCUGGAUACCAAGGCCAGUAAUGCCUGUAAUCUCAGCACUUUGAGAGACCAAAGUGGGAGGAUCACUUGAGCCCAGGAAUUCAAGCCCACCCUGGGCAACACAGCAAGACCCUGCCACUCCAUUAUUUUUUAAAAUAAAAAAUAAAUAAAUAAAAAUUUGUUUUUCUAUAGCCUAAAGAAAAAUAAUUGCCUCUGUUAACAUUACAUUUCCAAGAAAAAUUGUCUGCAAAUAGUUUAAUUUUAG